CACCAGCGCCACAAGUGGUAAUCACUAUUAUUGGGCCUAAAGCGUCUGUAGCCGAUCUGAUAACUCUUUUGUGAAAUUGUUUAGCCCAACUAAACAGUGAGCAUUAGAAACUUUCAGAUUAGAGACCGGGAAGGGACAAGAGUAUUCUUUGGGAAGCGGUAAAAUGCUAUAAUCCUUAGAGGACUACCAAUGGCGAAAGCACUUGUCUUGAACGGGUCUGACGGUGUAGGACGAAGGCUGGGAGAACGAUCCGGAUUAGAUACCCGAGUAGCCCCAGCAAUAAACUCUGCGAAUUAUGUGUUGCAUAUUCUUCGGGAAUAUGCAGUGCCGUAGUGAAGACGUUAAAUUCGCCGCCUGGGAAGUACGGCCGCAAGACUGAAACUUUA
rnacentral:rRNA from 1 species